UAUUCUCGUAGAAAAUCUGAUGUCAAAUUCAAGAAAUAUUACAAUUUCACGGCUUUUUCAGCGGGUCUAUAGGAGUUUAGUUACAAGCAGAACCAUUUUCUUUGUAUUCGGUGAUCACUAAAACAAUAAUGCAGCUCCAUCUUGGAUUUCUCCUAUCCGUGGUCUUGCCUUUUCUUGUCAUAGUUGCUCCAAAACCCCCGAAGUGUUAUGCAACACACUAAUCGUAUGUUCAAGCCCUUCUCAACGAAUCCUUAGUGGGCUUGUCUUAAAAUGAUCCCUACGUUAUUUGUUUUUCUAUUACUGAAAAAAAACAUAUGAUAUAAAGUAGCCACAUCUAGUCAUGGGAAUCGAAAGAGGUGACACGAUACAGUGCUUGCUUUUCCGGGGAAUCAAACAUGUAGGAAAAAUCAAAAGAUUAAAGAGAGAAAUGAUCACUUAACAGGUGCGAAUGUAGUGCAAGUGGAGUCGCUUUAAAUGUAAGAUGCACGUUUCAGAUGACUCAACGUGUCUGCCCCCUGGAAACAGCAGUCUUCGCAUACAAAAUUAAAACGUUUUUGUGGCGAAAGUAUUAAAGCAUUUCAAAACAAUUAUCGCAACAAAAGAAGCGGAACAGUAAAUCUAAGGAGACCCAUAUGAAUGUGAAAAGGAGUUAUGCAACAGUUGACCUUGUCAUCGUUUAGAAAUGCUUUUUAGCAUGAAGUGGGAUGAAAAUCCUAUUCGUUCCAGGUAAAAAUAAACUGUAUAAAUAGGCUGUUCUAAACGGGAACUUGACAUUCGAAUUCAGCGAUCACUAAAACCAUAAUGAAGCUCUACCUUGGAAUCGUUCUGGCCGUUGUCUUGCCGCUCCUUGUGGCUGCAAACCCCUCCAAAUCCCCGAAGGGUGAUUCGCCAACUGGAGCACCCUAAGCGGAUGUUCGACUUUCGCCUUCACAAAGCCAUUUUGGACUUGCCUUAAUCUUGCAGAUGAUUUUUGUUGAUCAAUAAAUCAGGCUUUCACAUUA
rnacentral:sRNA from 1 species